UUUUUCAUCUAUGUUUUUGUGAGCUAAACGAUGUUAGUGUUUUAUAGUUCACUUGCAAUUCUUUUUGAAAAUCCAAGUUCCCUCAUCAUAUUUGAGCAGUCAAGGUAAAUCCAACAUGGAAUUUUUGAGUUUUUUAUUCUUAGUACGUGAUGCAAUAGUCGCUACGAAGAUAUAAUUCAUGCCAGCCAUUUAUUACUAAAAGCAGAAGAAUCCUACUUCUUGAAUUUAUAUUCCAAUAGUCUGCUUCAGUCACUACCAAGAUUUAACUUAUGUUUUGGCACACUCUUGACAGGCCCGUUGAGAAGGGUGUGCGAGCGGUGCGACCGCACAGGUCCCAAAAUCGUAGAGGCCCCGAUCGGUGAAAAAAACAUAUACGAUCCGGUUCAUGCGCUGGAUGGCUGGUUUUUUAGCUGGCUCGUGUUAUCCUAUCGCAACAAAACUGCAGACGGAUGCACCAGAAGCGGAAACUCAUUACGUUGAGGCCCCUAGUUCCACUAAUCGCAGCCAAUAGGGCCCAGCCGGAUGUACGAGAUCAAAUAGAUAUGUCUCAGUCUUGGGAAAAAACAACUUCACGAAUAGGGAGGCCCGUCUACCUCCUUCUAGGAACGGACGAGCCGCCGAUGGAUGGCGGAACGCCACGGCGAGUCCGCUGUACUGCCCUCCGUCGCCGGAUGUAUCCCUGCUGCGGCAGCCUCAUUUGGUCAUCCCCGAAUAUAUUCCUAGGCUUUUGAUGUCGUGGAUGGUAAAUGAGCAAAACAUACCAACUCAUUAUGUCCCAGAUUUAAGGCAUCCCUGUUUAGUGACUCCAUCCUGAUUCAGCUGGCUACAACACUUGAUCUGGCUGGAUGUCCACUAGAUUGUGGCUGCAGUGUGAAUUGUUUUCUUUCUUUUUUGGCUGUGAAUUCAUGCGUGGUUUGAUGGUAUGCCAUCUUCUCUGGACACAAUAGCUAAAAGCCCAUGGAAACAAAGCCAAGUGGUCAGUGGAAGUACUUUCUUGGAAGAAACAAAUGAAUCAUAGUUAUUUGCUUUC